CAGCCGCCGCGGUAAUACGAAGGGUGCAAGCGUUACUCGGAAUUACUGGGCGUAAAGCGUGCGUAGGUGGUGGUUUAAGUCCGUUGUGAAAGCCCUGGGCUCAACCUGGGAAUUGCAGUGGAUACUGGGUCACUAGAGUGUGGUAGAGGAUAGUGGAAUUUCCGGUGUAGCAGUGAAAUGCGUAGAGAUCGGAAGGAACAUCUGUGGCGAAGGCGACUAUCUGGGCCAACACUGACGCUGAGGCACGAAAGCGUGGGGAGCAAACAGGAUUAGAUACCCCUGUAGUCCCUGUCUCUUAUAC
rnacentral:rRNA from 1 species